rnacentral:rRNA from 1 species
AUUGAACGCUGGCGGCAUGCUUUACACAUGCAAGUCGAACGGUAACAGGCCGCAAGGUGCUGACGAGUGGCGAACGGGUGAGUAAUGCAUCGGAACGUGCCCAGUCGUGGGGGAUAACUACUCGAAGGGGAACUUAUUACGGCUACGGAUUAGGGGUGGAAGGGGGGGGCCGGAAGGGCCCGGGCCGUUGGGGGGGGCGAUGUCAGAUUAGGUAGUUGGUGGGGUAAAGGCUCACCAAGCCAAAGAUCUGUAGCUGGUCUGAGAGGACGACCAGCCACACUGGGACUGAGACACGGCCCAGACUCCUACGGGAGGCAGCAGUGGGGAAUUUUGGACAAUGGGCGCAAGCCUGAUCCAGCAAUGCCGCGUGCAGGAAGAAGGCCUUCGGGUUGUAAACUGCUUUUGUACGGAACGAAACGGCUCUGGUUAAUACCCGGGGCUAAUGACGGUACCGUAAGAAUAAGCACCGGCUAACUACGUG